rnacentral:lncRNA from 1 species
CACACAGCAGAAGGAAGGCAUAUAGGAUUCCAGAGCAAAGGAAGUUAGGCAGAAAGCGUGUGUAUGUUCCAAAAGUGCUUGGAUGAAUUCAGGGCAAGAGGAUUGUAACGGACGUUCGGAGGGAAAAGUUAUUAAGGUGGGCCAUCAAGGAGGUCAACCAUGAUGCUUGACCACUAAGCAUCCUUUGGCAUCAUUCUGACCCAAUAGGACAGGAAGGAAAGGACCGCAUUACAUUUGUGACCAAAGAAGACCGUGAGACUUCAAGCAAUGCCAAGUUGGGAACAGAUGAUCCCAACCACCCUUAUGAAGACCACGGUCAAUAAACUGUAUCAGCAACAUGAAAAGGCAAAGGAAUCACAUCCAUAGGCUCUAUCUGCAAACCCAAACUUCAAUCAAGCAAUCAUAUUUAUUGAGCGCUUACUGUGUGCAGAACACUGUACUAAGCACUUGGGAAAGUACAGUAUAACAGAAUUGGUCGACAAGCUCUGUUGCCCACAUCGAACUUUGAGUCUAGAGGGAAAAAUUCUGCUUCCUUCCCGUCGGCGAAUCGAACCCCA